AAAUUCGUGACCGAAGCAUGAAGGUUCUUCCAGGUAUCAGUCCAUGCAUCCGGAUUCAGGGUAGAGGGGAAAGUGAAACUUUGCAGCGUUGAUUCCAUCAGAUUGUUGUAGAUGAGUUAUUGUUCUAUUAGAGAGGAGUGGGCUUGAUUCGGCAGGUUGACUGAUGCGAAGCUAUUUGAUGGGGAUGAAAUAACUCCAUGAGUAAUGGUGGACCGGUUGGUUAUUGAAGGAACUUUAUGGUCUACAGUAUACUAAGUCGAAACAGUGAACAGUGGGUUGGUGGAAGAGCCGCUUGCAAGUUUCAUUCCCUUCUGGUAGUGAUUGCAGUUGUGACGAUUAUGACCACCGUGAUCAUCCUGUUUGCCUGAUUGGUUCUUCCAGUCGUAACAAUUGUAUAAUCGAGAAUAAGACCAGGAACUUGAAUAUAAAAAGCUGAUGAGUUCAGGCUUAUCUUCUGCCAGGUUGAACCUGCUGGCCAAUCUUUAAGGAUCAGAAGCAUCUUCAUCUGGGAUGAGAUUAAGAUCCCUCCAAGAAAGUGAUUCAGUUUACUAUAUCAGAAUUCUUGAGCAUCGCUUGUUCAGUUCAGUAAUUUCAGAAAUGCAGCAUUGUCUUCUACCUUGAGAUGUUUCCGAUCAUAAUUUCAACAAUGAUGGCAAUUAUGACACAACUCACUAGAGAUGAGAGCAUAACAUCACAAAUACCAAAGAUCACCAAUUAUAAAAUCUAAGAAAGAUGAGCCUCCAAGGGUUAAUAUUCUUUUCAAGCACAUUCAGGGGAUGCUUAAUGGAGACACUGCAGUAAUAGCUGAGAAUGGAGACUCGUGAUUCAAUUGCCAGGAGCUCCGCCUCCCUGAGAACUAUGGCUACGAAUUUCAGAUGCAGUAUGGAUCUAUUGGCUGGUCAGUCGGUGCCGCUCUUGGAUAUGCUCAGGCUGCCAAAUAAGCGUGCGAUUGCUUGUAUUGGCGAUGGAACUUUCCAGGUUAGGGACAAGUUUCACACAAACCUUCUAACACAUUUGUGCUGGUCGGAAGUAGGGAUAGGAAAGGAAUGGGUGGGCCAGGUACCUCUUCCUGUAUAUCCUGUCUCUGCAGUAUCCAUCAAGCAAAACUUUCAAACUUUUUCUUGUACCUGCUUUGGGGAUUUAUGGGGAUCAUCGUCCUAGCCCUGUGUCAAAUCUUGCUCUGGGAUUUCUAUGUUUUGAGAUACAGAGCUUGGAAAUCAAAAGAGUUUUUCAUUUUAUUCAGGUUACAGCGCAAGACAUUUCAACAAUGAUUCGAUGUGGACAAAGGACCAUUAUAUUCCUAAUCAAUAAUGAAGGUUAUACAAUUGAAGUAGA